rnacentral:rRNA from 1 species
GACAGAGGUGCCAAGCGUUAGGCGGAAUCACUGGGCUUAAAGCGUGUGUAGGCGGAUCGUUAAGUGUCUUGUGAAAUCCCACGGCUCAACCGUGGAGCUGCUCGACAUACUGGCGAUCUUGAGCAACCUAGGGGCGAGCGGAACAAAUGGUGGAGCGGUGAAAUGCGUAGAUAUCAUUUGGAACGCCAAUGGUGAAAACAGCUCGCUGGGGGUUUGCUGACGCUGAGACACGAAAGCCAGGGGAGCGAACGGG